rnacentral:tRNA from 1 species
AGGGAAGGUGGCUGAGUGGUUUAAAGCGAUAGAUUGUAAAUCUAUUGACAUAUGUCGUCAUAGGUUCGAAUCCUGUCUUUCCCA